UUACGUAGACGGAAGGUUUUUUGUAAACUUUUAAUUCUUCUUCUUGUGGCAAUAGACUCCAAGGCCAGCCCUGCUUGUGCCUCUUUCCACUACCCCUCCUCUGGACUCUUUGUCUCUGGAGGAGUGUCUGCCAUUGCCUGCCGGUGUUUCUGUUUGUCUCCUUUGGAAGUUUCGCCUCGGUGUCAGCCAGCUGCGCCUAUGGGUUUGGGUAGCAGAGUAGGAAGACGGAGCCCCCAGUUUGCAGCCUUUGCUGCCAGCCCAGCCAGACCUCGGGUCCUCACUUGAUUACCAAACAUGAUCCUGGAAUUGGAAGUAUUCAGGCCUGGAGAUGACCUCAUGAGAUGAAUAGGUCCAAAGGUCUUGAGUCCAUUGGAUGAAGCUUACUGGCUGCAGAGUAUCAAGGAAAGUGAUUACCAGAAACAUGGACCAAGAGUUGUUUGAACAGUGCAAAGCCAAGGUGAAAUGUGGACUACCUAGUCAGUAGGCCCCCAAAGUGCUUUAUGUUCUUAUAAGCUUUAAUUAACUUCUUGAGAGAUCUUUACAGUAAUUAAGUUGUUACUGAGUCUUGUUUUAAGUCACCCUGUCAAUAUGAGCUGUGAACCUUCUGUUUGUUUGUUUUUUUAACCCUAAAAACAUAUGUUUUAUGUUUAGGAAAUAAAUAUCUGUCCCAUA